rnacentral:sRNA from 1 species
UUUUUGCGUGAGGGAUAGUUGUGAAAAUCCUUUAUUAUGUAGCGAUAGCGAAAUAAUAAAGAUUGUAACUUAUAGCCCGGUUCGCC